AUUGAACGCUGGCGGCAGGCUUAACACAUGCAAGUCGAACGGUAACACGCUGCAUCUUGCUGCUUCUCUGACGAGGGGCGGACGGGUGAGUAAUGUCUAGGCUGCUCUCUGCUGGAGGGGGACAACUACUGGAAACGGUUGCUAAUACCUCAUAAUGUCGCACGACUGAUGAGGGUGGCAAUCGGGCCUCUUGCCAUCAGAUAUGCCCAGAUGGGAUUAGCUUGUUUGGGGGCUAACGGGACACAAAGGCGACCAGCCGUACCUCGUCUGAGAGGAUGACCAGCCACACGGGAACUGAGACACGGUCCAGACUCCUACGGGAGGCACCAGUGGGGAAUAUUGCACAGUGGGCGCAAGCCUGAUGCAGCCAGGCCGCGUGUAUGAAGAAGGCCUUCGGGUUGUAAAGUACUUUCAGCGGGGAGGAAGGGAGUAAAGUUAAUACCUUUGCUCAUUGACGUUACCCGCAGAAGAAGCACCGGCUAACUCCGUG
rnacentral:rRNA from 1 species